rnacentral:misc_RNA from 1 species
GAGGAAAGUCCGGGCUCCACGGAAAUACGGUGCCGGAUAACGUCCGGCGGGGGCGACCCCAGGGAAAGUGCCACAGAGAGCAAACCGCCAUGCACCCGCAUGGUAAGGGUGAAAGGGUGGGGUAAGAGCCCACCGCGCUUCUGGUAACAGCGGCGGCAAGGUAAACCCCACCGGGAGCAAGACCGAAUAGGGAUGACACGGGAUGGGCGAAAGCCCGUUCACAGCCGGUUUCCGGGCCCGUCAUCCGGGUGGGUUGCGAGAGGCGGCAUG